AACAAACAUCCCGCACACAGGAGUGUCUCAGAGUCUGCUCUCUGGAGGAUCCGAACACAACCCCUUAAGCGACAAGCUCCCGGCCCUGUGGCUCAGCCCACCCAGCCUCCUACUGCAGGGACCCCUCAGCCCCAGCAGGAGAAUUAUUCACAAUAGCCAUGAGGUGGAAGCAACCCAAAUGUCCAUCAACGGAUGAAUGGAUAAAUAAAAUGUAGUAUAUACAUAUAAUGGAAUAUUAUUCAGCCUUAAAAAGGAAGGAAAUUCUGACCCAUGCUACAACAUGGAUGAACCUUGAGAACACCACGAAAUCUGAAUCUACUCCCUCUCCUACCAACAGUGGAGAGCGCCCUACGCUCCUGACAAUACUGGGUCAUCAAACGUUUUUAACCUUUGCUAAUCUG